rnacentral:snRNA from 1 species
GUGCACACUUUGGCAGCACAUACACUAAAGUCAUAAUGAUGCAGAGAUUAGCAUGGCUCCUGCACAAGAAUGAUAACAUUUUUGAAGCAUUGCUAAUAUAU